ensembl:lncRNA
GGCCACUGUUAUCUUUAAAUGGAAACAGAGGAGGUGCUGCUAACUCUCAACCCUUCUCACUUUGAAGAUCACAGUGCAGGAGUUGUGGUGUUCAUAACAAGAACGCUCAUCUCUGAUCAAUGUUGACUUGGGAGUGGAGGGAAGAAGGGACUCAACUGAAUAAAGCCAUAAGGUAUAGUGCUGGGACGGACAGAAAAACGUGAGAACCUCCAUGUUCAGCUCCCACAAAUCACCAGAGGGGCCAUCAGGACUGUACAGAUGUGCUUUUGUGUGCCACAGGCUGCAGGACUUCCCUCAGCUCUGAGCUGAAUCCACUGGAGUGCCUCACACCUUCCGUCCUUGGAUUAAGUUGCCCACUAGUACCUCUCGUUCCACUUGCAGAGAACCUGAUUCUUUUACUGUUUCUCAGUGAAGUGGCUUUAACUCAGUCAAAAAACGUGCUUGAUACUUAGGCCAUUCUGGGGUCAGAAGAGAGACAACAUCUGGUAUAAAAUAAUGGAAAUACCUCAUCUACUGGGUUGUACUCCUUUUCCCUUAGUGGUUACUUCUGAGAGCAGGAGAUGGCUAUAAUUUCAGGAUUAUUCUCCUCAGUGCUGUCACUUGGAAUAGCCUGCGUUUCCAAACGUCGUUCUCAGAUUGAAGUGAUGCACAG